UUGCUGGGCUCACUGCAGCUCAGACGCAGCAAAAGAGCCUAGAACCUGGGUCCUAGUUUGCACCUUGAAUAUGAGGCAAGUGGCAAGAGUGAUCGUGUUCCUGACCCUGAGUACUUUGAGCCUUGCUAAGACCACCCAGCCCAUCUCCAUGGACUCAUAUGAAGGACAAGAAGUGAACAUAACCUGUAGCCACAACAACAUUGCUACUAGUGAUUAUAUCAUGUGGUACCAACAGUUUCCCAACCAAGGACCGCGAUUUAUUAUUCAAGGAUACAAGGCAAACAUUGCAAAUGAAGUGGCUUCCUUGUUUAUCCCCGCUGACAGAAAGUCCAGCACUCUGAGCCUGCCCCGGGUUGCCCUGAGCGACACUGCUGUAUACUACUGCCUCUGUGAUGGCCAGAAGCUGCUCUUUGGAAGGGGGACCAUGUUAAAGGUGAAUCUUAAUAUCCAGAACCCUGACCCUGCCGUGUACCAGCUGAGAGGCUCUAAAUCCAAUGACACCUCUGUCUGCCUAUUCACUGAUUUUGAUUCUGUAAUGAAUGUGUCACAAAGCAAGGAUUCUGACGUGCAUAUCACAGACAAAACUGUGCUAGACAUGAGGUCUAUGGACUUUAAGAGCAACGGUGCUGUGGCCUGGAGUAACAAAUCCGAUUUUGCAUGUACAAACGCCUUCAAGGACAGCAUUAUUCCAGCAGAUACCUUCUUCCCCGGCACAGAAAGUCUCUGUGAUGCCAACCUGGUUGAGAAAAGCUUUGAAACAGAUAUGAACCUAAACUUUCAAAACCUGUCAGUGAUCGGGUUCCGAAUCCUCCUCCUGAAAGUGGCCGGGUUUAAUCUGCUCAUGACGCUGCGGCUGUGGUCCAGCUGAGGUCUGCAAGAUUGUAAGACAGCCUGUGCUCCCUCGUUCCUUCCUCUGCAUCGCCCCUCCUCUCCCUCUCCAAGCAGAGGGAACUCUCCCACCCCCAUGGAGGAGAAAGCUGCUACCACCUCUGUGCCCCCCCGGCAAUGCCACCAACUGGAUCCUACCCAAAUUUGUGAUUAAGAUUGCCGAAGAGCUACCAAACACUGCUGCCACCCACUCUGUUCCCUUAUUGCUGCUUGUCACUGCCUGACAUUCACGGCAGAGGCAAGGCUGCUGCAGCCUCCCCUGGCUGUGCACAGUCCCUCCCGCUCCCCAGAGGCUGCCUGACCAUCCCACAGAUGAUGGAUCCUCAGUGAGUUCUCUUGGGCUCUAGGUCCUGGAGAAUGUUGUGAGGGGUUUAUAUUUUUUAAAUAGUGUUCAUAAAGAAAUACAUACUAUUCUUCUCAAGACAUGGGGGGAAAUUAUCUCAUUAUUGAGGCCCUGCUAUGCUGUGUGUCUGGGUGUGUUGUAUAUCCUGCUGCCAAUGGCUUCAUUAAAAUGGUUUGGAAGAGCAGA